CUUAGGAACUGAUCUGCCUUACUAUUUCCACAAAAACUAGUCAUCAGCAAGAAGCUACCUGUGGGGUGCACAUUCUCAGGUCAAAUGACUUAGAAGCAACUUGAGGCAGUAUGGGAGCAUAAAAGACAGCCAGGAUGCCAAAGUCUCCGAGCAGUGAGUAGGAGUCUAAGAAGUUGGAAAGAUUCAUGGACCUCUUCCAGUAUGUGAAAGCCACAACUGUGGAGCAAAUGGGAAAGCAGCAAUGUGAGAACAGAUUAAUACACAGAGCAUCCAGAGAGAAAUACCCAGCAAUCAGUUGGAGCUGAAAGGCCCAAGAAGGAGAGGGAAUAGAAGGAUGACAUGCAUAUUUGGAUGAAAUUCACAUAUAGGAGGAAUCCAAAAAAGUGUCCGUAGAGAUAAAAAGGUUCUAGAGGUUGCCUGCAUUCCUUGACUCCUGAAUCUCUAUCACCUUCAGAGCCAGAUAUUUCCUGCUGAGUCUUUCUGAGGCUGCAUCACCCUGACCCUGACUCUUCCAUCUCCAUCCUUCAUGCUUAAAGGAUCCUGGUGAUUACAUUGGACCCUCCCGUACAAUCUAGGAUACAUUUUUAACCUUAAGGUCUUCAAGGGAUCACCACACUGUCUUCCACAAUGGUUGAAC
rnacentral:lncRNA from 1 species